GAUGAAGAACGUAGCGAAAUGCGAUAAGUAGUGUGAAUUGCAGAAUUCCGUGAAUCAUCGAAUCUUUGAACGCACAUUGCGCCUUCUGGUAUUCCGGAAGGCAUGCCUGUUCGAGAGUCAUUAACAACCGUUUCGAUCCCUUUCUUUCAGAAAUUACAAAGAGGAAAAGGGUUUGGUUAUGGUGGAGGAGGGAAAGGGAGCGUUUAGCCUGUAAAAAAAGAGGCUGUGUUCCGCUUCCCCCCCAAAAUUGUACAGGCGGUCGUGUGCGCCCACGCAUCGAGGUGUUGUAAAAGCUGCCACGGCACUUUUCACCUGUGCAGUGCGAGAUUGGCCAGCCGGUUUAAAAACCCCUCCAAACAAUCAAAGGUUGACCUCGGAUCAGGUAGGGAUACCCGCUGAACUUAAGCAUAUCAAUAAGCGGAGGA
rnacentral:misc_RNA from 1 species